GUUUUUUUAAAGGGACAAUGUGUAGGAAUUUCUCCCAUCUAGCGGUGAAAAUGUAUUUUGCAUUCAAACAAAUUGUGCUCUCCAGCGCCUCGCUUUUUCAAAUGCGCGUUGCAUCUACGGUAGCCAUUAUGUAACAAAAAGCUAUGACAGGAUGUCUUCUAAUAGCACUUCGUCGAGUGUUCCUUCGGGUGAACAGGUUUGUUAUUUUAAAAAAACAGCAACUUGACACAACGAACAAAACGAAUGUUACAGUAUGAAUUACUGACUGUGAAAAACAUGAACUAUUGUAAUAAGUAGUUAUGCCUUCUUUAUUCGUUAUAUUUUCUGAAGUACGUGCAUUGUUAGAUAUCAUCAACUUUUAACUAUAAAUGUUCAUCUGUCUAUAAAAUAAAGUACACAACCAAACAAUGAAAAAAAGCUUAGGGUUAAGACUGUAACAUUGACUUACCUGUCGAGAAGAAAGCAGGACUUCAGCGUCUCUUUUGAAAUCUUUCUCCUGCAAUAGCUCUAUCCACCUGGAAAAAGCUAUCCCGACAUUAACUUGUGUUUUUUGUAAUCUCCAGUCACGUUUCCUUUUACGAUCUAUUUUGGACUUUUCUGGCGACGAGGAUUUGCAAUGCAGCCUUUUAAACUUGCCGGGGCAGUGACAAGCGCCUCUCACUGCUCUGCUCCUCCGUUUCUGCUGCUUUCAGUUACGUCACGCUGGCUCUGAAUGAAAACGCGUUGUGGAAACGCGUUGGCCUAGUACUUUUUGUCCCUCUCUGCUAUUAUAGUUUUUCAAGAUGGCGGAACUACAUGGAAGCCUCCGUGGACCUACCCGUCCCAUGUAUAUAAAGAUAAUAAAUUCUUCGUUUACGAGGAUAAGUCAGAUAAUUGGCAGAGGUAUUUGUACACCAUUGAGGACAUAUUUAUGAAUAAAAAUAUUGAUUUUAAAUAAUAAAAUACAUAAAAAAGUACACAUUGUCCCUUUAAA